rnacentral:lncRNA from 1 species
CCAGCCUAAGAUUGGACGCUGAAGUAGUCACGAUCGAUGUAGAUCUUCUGUUAUAACUUUGUCCAAACAUCUGCAAAACAAGUCCACAUCGGGGGUUGGCUUCGGCGUAGACUCUCCGACGCUUAAGUCAAGAGAUGGAGAAUGAUGAGAGGAAAGAAUUAGAAGUUGAUUGAUUGCAUAUCUUGGAGGGUCCUGGAAUCUUUAUUUAUAGGAGA